GAUGAACGCUGGCGGCGUGCCUCAAACAUGCAAGUCGAGCGGGGCUAUGUAAUAUCGCAAGGUAGAACAUAGCCUAGCGGCGAACGGGUGAGUAACACGUGGGUAACCUGCCUGGAAGACAGGGAUAACGAUUCGAAAGGGUCGCUAAUACCUGAUAAUAUCCUUUCAUCGCAUGGUGAUAGGAAGAAAGGGGAAACCCGCUUUCAGAUGGGCCCGCGUCCCAUCAGCUAGUUGGUAAGGUAAAGGCUUACCAAGGCGACGACGGGUAGCCGGUCUGAGAGGAUGUACGGCCACACUGGGACUGAGAUACGGCCCAGACUCCUACGGGAGGCAGCAGUUGGGAAUCUUAGGCAAUGGACGAAAGUCUGACCUAGCGACGCCGCGUGAGGGAAGAAGGGCCUUCGGGUUGUAAACCUCUGUCAUGGGGGAAGAAGUAAGUGACGGUACCCCAAGAGGAAGCCCCUGCUAACUACGUGCCAGCAGCCGCGGUAAAAGUCUCUAU
rnacentral:rRNA from 1 species